GGGAGAGGGUGUCGAAAGGUUUUUCUUUAGCAGCAAUUCCUGCAGUGAGUCAUGAAGAAAGGGCCAUAAUUGUUCCUAUUGUCUUCUGUGCUUGGGUACAGCCACCUGUUGGUUAUUUGUGAGCUCAUCAUUAUCACUUGCAUUAUUUUGGCUCUGCAUGAAAGAGAUUAAACUGCUGGGGUUGUGUGGCUGAGCAGUACCAUGGUACCAGAGGGGCUCUGCAGUCUCUGAGCUGGCACGGUGACAGGGAGGACAGAGGGAGGUGAAGUGCCAUCCCUUAUGUGAACACCAUGGUGGAACUGCAGGCUUUGUCCUGAGCAUGGAGCCAGAUCUCAGCCAGAGACCAAUGGAGACCCUGAGCACUGGAGUCCCAUCGGAUGCUGGAGACUCAGAGAAGCCAUGUAGGCACAUGGGAUGGACAAAGGUCUGCAAUUACAGACCUGCAUGAGAUAUUUCAGUGGAUGUCUUGUAGCAUAAGUAACCCAAUUUCAACAGGAGGUCUAACAAGGACAUUUCAUUUGUUUGAUUGUGAAAAGGCACUGCUUAGCCCCAUAUCCCCCCACAUCAUAGUAUGAAACUUUUCCUAGAUACCAUCCACUGCUGAAACGUUAUAGAAGCUGUCACAGCAUCUCCAGAAAAUCAUUGAUGCAAUGACCUCAAGACCCUUCAGCUAACAUUCUUAUAUUCUCUUGUUGCCCAGUCUUUUCUCUCCCAUAAAUCAGUUAUCCCCUCAUGAACAGGGUGCCAUGGAGUUGUGAAGUUCAGAAAGAUGUAUCAUUUACCUGCCAGAAAAACAGCUGGCCUUAUUCCUGCAGCCUCGGAAGACAGUAUUUCCAACUACUUUGACUUUAUAAAAUUGCAAGAAGCGGC
ensembl:lncRNA